rnacentral:rRNA from 1 species
AUUGAACGCUGGCGGCAUGCUUUACACAUGCCAGUCGAACGGUAACAGGCCUUCGGGUGCUGACGAGUGGCGCACGGGUGAGUAAUGCAUCGGAACGUGCCCAGAGGUGGGGGAUAACGCAGCGAAAGCUGUGCUAAUACCGCAUGUGAUCUGAGGAUGAAAGCGGGGGACCAAGCAGCAAUGUUUGGCCUCGCGCCUCUGGAGCGGCCGAUGUCAGAUUAGGUAGUUGGUGGGGUAAAGGCCUACCAAGCCGACGAUCUGUAGCUGGUCUGAGAGGACGACCAGCCACACUGGGACUGAGCCACGGCCCAGACUCCUACGGGAGGCAGCAGUGGGGAAUUUUGGACAAUGGGCGCAAGCCUGAUCCAGCAAUGCCGCGUGCGGGAAGAAGGCCUUCGGGUUGUAAACCGCUUUUGUACGGAACGAAAAGGCUCUGGCUAAUACCUGGGGCUGAUGACGGUACCGGAAGAAUAAGCACCGGCUAACUACGUG